rnacentral:rRNA from 1 species
AAUGAACGCUGGCGGCAUGCCUAACACAUGCAAGUCGAACGAGACCUUCGGGUCUAGUGGCGCACGGGUGCGUAACGCGUGGGAACCUGCCUUUAGGUUCGGCAUAACUCCCCGAAAGGGGUGCUAAUACCGGAUAAUGUCUUCGGACCAAAGAUUUAUCGCCUUUGGAUGGGCCCGCGUUGGAUUAGCUAGUUGGUAGGGUAAAAGCCUCCCAAGGCGACGAUCCAUAGCUGGUCUGAGAGGAUGGGCAGCCACACUGGGACGGAGACACGGCCCAGACUCCUACGGGAGGCAGCAGUGGGGAAUAUUGGACAAUGGGCGAAAGCCUGAUCCAGCAAGGCCGCGUGAGUGAUGAAGGCCUUAGGGUUGUAAAGCUAUUUUACCCGGGAUGAUAAUGACGGUACCGGGAGAAUAAGCUCCGGCUAACUCCGUG